rnacentral:rRNA from 1 species
UACGUAGGGAGCGAGCGUUGUCCGGAUUCAUUGGGCGUAAAGAGCUCGUAGGCGGCUUGAUUAGUCGGAUGUGAAACCUCCAGGCUCAACCUGGAGUCGCCAUCCGAUACUGUCAUGGCUAGAGUCCGGUAGGGGCCCACGGAAUUCCUGGUGUAGCGGCGAAAUGCGCAGAUAUCAGGAGGAACACCGGUGGCGAAGGCGGUGGGCUGGGCCGGCACUGACGCUGAGGAGCGAAAGCGUGGGGAGCGAACAGG